ACACCUAUUCAUACAGCUGUACUGAAGGCGAACUCACCUGCAAAGGCGCGCAACUUCACAACCAGUAUUGAAAAGACACAGGGCUGCGUCUCGCAAUAGUGCAGCGUUUGUUUUGGUCAUGCCUCCCCCGAGGUUCACCAUUUCCUUCUUCCCUCCAGUGGACAACGAUGAGUGUAAAGCCUUUAUUUGUAAUUGUGACCGCACAGCAGCCAAGUACUUCGCCGGAGCCCCUUACAACAACGCGAACUGGAAUAUCGACACCGACACGUUGCCAAUGAUAUUUGAGAGGCUUCAGCGCAAGGACUGUGGCAGUUACUCACCUGCGCGUGGCAAUUCUCUGGAUGGGCCUCUAUUAUAUAUAUA